rnacentral:lncRNA from 1 species
AAGAGCUGUUGCAACUGGAUGGACGCCUUGAUGAUGAUUCCUUUCAUGAAUUACUCAUUUGCAAGUCAAAAGCCUCUCCUGUGUGGGUAGAACGAAUGCAAAGGAUUGUGCGAAAAGAAUUAUGCGGCGACUCCUGACCAACAAGAUUGCUCGGAACUAUAACUGGAAAGGACAAAAGGGAGAGAUGUGUGCUUUCAAGGGACUGAAGGUGCAGGCCAUGAUCUACAAAGCUGUACGGAAGAACCGUGGGUGUAUGGAGGCUUCCGAUAAAGUUAGUGCAGGAGC